rnacentral:rRNA from 1 species
GACGAACGCUGGCGGCGUGCCUAAUACAUGCAAGUCGAACGCUUUUUCUUUCACCGGAGCUUGCUCCACCGAAAGAAAAAGAGUGGCGAACGGGUGAGUAACACGUGGGUAACCUGCCCAUCAGAAGGGGAUCACACUUGGAAACAGGUGCUAAUACCGUAUAACACUAUUUUCCGCAUGGAAGAAAGUUGAAAGGCGCUUUUGCGUCAAUGAUGGAUGGACCCGGGGUGCAUUAGCUAGUUGGUGAGGUAACGGCUCACCAAGGCAAGGAUGCAUAGCCGACCUGAGAGGGUGAUCGGCCACACUGGGACUGAGACACGGCCCAGACUCCUACGGGAGGCAGCAGUAGGGAAUCUUCGGCAAUGGACGAAAGUCUGACCGAGCAACGCCGCGUGAGUGAAGAAGGUUUUCGGAUCGUAAAACUCUGUUGUUAGAGAAGAACAAGCAUGAGAGUAAAACGUUCAUCCCUUGACGGUAUCUAACCAGAAAGCCACGGCUAACUACGUGCCAGCCGCCGCAGUAA